ensembl:lncRNA
AGCUAUCAAAUAAGCAGUAGUUCAAUAAAUUGAAAGCAUGUACUUGGAGAAUCAAUAAAAGCUUCUGGGAAAAAAUGGAGUUUGAGCUGAGCCUUUGGGCAGGCAGGAUCUGCCAAGGCAAACAAGAAAAGAGCCUGGAUUUCUGGUGGUAAGAAAAUAUGAGCUAGGCAGGGAACCAGGGCAGAGCACAGGAUACACAGCUGGGUUAAGGAGGAAACUUGGCCCAGCGAAGCAGAGACUUGACCUUGGGAGUGGUGGGGAAGGUAACUACCAGAAGGUGGGCUAGAGGGCAAAGGAUCUCACAAUCCAAACAGAGGAGUUUACACCUGAUGAAAUGGAGAAUCUUGGAAGGUUUCUGAGGAGAUAACUGAUUGAUGAGGGCAACACUGAAAAUGAAGAACCUUGCAGGAUGGUGCCUGGCAUAGAUCCUCUAAGCAGAGAGCCAAGUAAGAGCCUCCUGGGGAAACCCAGACUUAGGAUGACACAUCUGGACUUGGUGAUGGCAGAGGAAAUGUCUGAGAUGGGCUUGAAGAAAGAUUUCAGUGGAAGAAACAUGAGCUGUGAUCUACAAGCAAAACAUUUGGGGGCACAGGGCCUUACUUCGUUAUCUGGAAAAUCGCCAUUGUCCACAUCCAAGAGACCCUGGUGAGGCCGUAUCUGCUUGAACAUCAUUCAUGACUGUGAGAGAAGUGGUGAUUAACUUACCUUGAAAUCAUACUGUUUAUCUUCAGAUAAUGAUGAAGGUCAUAGUGAUUCAGAGUCCAAACUCUGAAGCAAGAUGACCUGAGUCUAAAUCUUUCCUCUGCAACUUACUGCUGUAUUUUAAACUUGGUUCUUGGGUUGUUGCCGUUUGGAGGGAGGGUACUACUUAGGAUAGUUUAAGCACGUUGAUCAUAUCAAGCUGGAAAUAGAAUUGCUCACUAAGUUGUGGAUACUGGCCCCUGCCCUGAUUCCUCUGCUGUUGAUUCCCCAGCUCCCCUAACACCAUUUUAUAUUCAUGAAUCUCUUUGUAUAAUAUAUUGAUUCAGCUGCAUUAUUUGUCAGGUUGUCUGGCACCGUGCUAGGCUAUAGAGAUACAAAGGCAACAAAUUAUGGACUAUCUUAAAGGGUGGAUAAAUAUAUGUAGGGGACAGAGACUUGCAAACAAAUGCAUUCGUCAAAAUGUUAAUUAGGCCAGGCGUGGUGGCUCAUGCCUGUAAUCCAAGUACUUGAGAGGCCAAGGAGGGAGGAUCACCUGAAGUCAGGAGUUCAAGACCAACCUGACCAACAUGGUGAAACCCUGUCUUAAAAAAUAAUAAUAAUAAUAAUAAUAAUAAAUUUUUUUUAAUGUUAAUUAAAGACACUGAGAAAGAACUUUUCAGGGCACACUGGAGGAUAAGGGAGGGCAAAGUGAGUUCUGUCUGAGAGAAUGAAGUGGAGGAGGGUGUCAAGGGGCAAGAAAAGUUUUUGUGGGAAAGGUCGAUGCUUGAAUUGAAUCUCAAAGUUGUUUUGCUAUAACCACAAUAGGUAUGCUGCCUGAUAAGUGUAUAUUCACCCAACAGGUUCCUCCUGCUUGCUGCCUAGAUAAAAAUCAAUUCACUAAGACCACAGCAUUGCAGUAAAGAGUUUGACACUGAGGCUGGCCAUGCAGAACUGGGGUUAUCACUCAAAUCAGUCUUCGAAAAGGCUUCAGGGCUAGGGUUUUAUAGGUAAACUGGUGGGCAGGGGUCUAGGAAAUGGGUGCUGCCAAUUGACUGGGGAUGAAAUCACAGGAGUGUGGAAAAUAGUCCUCAUGCACCCCAUCUGCCUCUGUGUGGGGUCACAGGAUCAAUUGAGUCAUGAGUCACAGAUCUGGGUGGGGUCAGUCUGAAAGACAUCUCAAAAAACCAAUUUUACGUUCUACAAUGAUGAUGUUUUAUAUACAGGAGCAAUGAGGAUAACACAAACCUUGUCAUCUCAGGCCACAUGACUCCUAAGCAGUAAGGGUUUACAGAAACUAUGCUUACAUCUUAUCAGAAUUCAGGAUCCUCUCAUAAUCCUAAUUUUGUGGUCUUUCGUCAGUUUUACAGAGGUGGUUUAAUUUGGGGAAGGGGUAUUAUCAACCUUGCUUUAAGGUUAAACUGUAAAUUCCUCCCAAAGUUAGCUUGGCCUAUGCCCAGGAAUGGCUAAGGACAGCGUAAAGGUCAGAAGCAAGAUGGAGUCAACUGUAUCAGAUUUCUCUUACUGUCACAGUUUGGCAAAGGCAGUUUCACAUGCAACAAGUCAGUACACUGAGACACCAGGCUGCAGCAGGGAAAGGUUUAAUCAUAGGUCUGCCAAAUGAGGAGAUGGCAGGCAACCUCCAAUGCAUCUCCCUGAGGAUUUAGGGGCUAGGUUCUUUUUUGUUUGUUUGUUUUUUGAGACGGAGUUUCGCUUUUGUUACCCAGGCUGGAGUGCAAUGGCACAAUCUCCAAUCACUACAACCUCCACCUCCUGGGUUCAGGUGAUUCUCCUGCCUCAGCCUCCCAAAUAGCUGGGAUUACAGGUGCCCACCACCAAGCCUGGCUAAUUUUUUUGUGUAUUUUUAAUAGAGAUGGGGUUUUUCCAUGUUGGCCAGGAUGGUCUUGAACUCCUGAUCUCAGGUGAUCCACCUGCCUCGGCCUCCCAAAGUGCUGGGAAUACAAGCAUGAGCCACUGCGUCCGGCCUUGGGGCUAGGUUUUUAAGGAUUAUGGAGUGGGCCAAAGUGUGGAGAUCACUGAGGGGUCAAAGAGUGCAGAGGAAGUCAUGGGACAGGGAGAUGAUGAUUCUCAUGCUGAUUGUAUUCCUCUGUGGGGUUCUUCAAACUGGUUGGCAUUAGCCGUUUCCUUAGAAUCUGGGAUCUGAAAAACGUCUGAAGCAGUUCUUAAACAAAAGACUUAAAAUUUUAAUGUCAAAAAUCCCAUCUGUAGGAACAAUGGGGAUACAAAUGGUCCCCAUUUGUAGUGACUUUGUGUUACAAGGAAGUAGGUCAAAGUAUAGCCUGAUUAGUGCUUAUUUAUAACUAUAGUUCUGUCUAGAAUUCUUGUUAACCCUGUGAGGACAGCUUCACUGCUUCUCAUCUGUUCCUUCAGACCUGUUCUAAUCCUGAGGCAAUCUGAAUAAGGCAAAGCCUCCACAAAUAGGCUCAGAAAUAUUACCCCAUUUCCUGGAUUCUAGUAGCCUAGUCCCAGUCGUUGGGACUCCCUCGUUGUCUCUCAGGGAUCUUUGUUGCAUUCAGUUGAAGAAUCUGCUCUUAUCAGGAAUGACUCCUGGGCCCAAAGUCACAGCUCUCUGGUCUCCGUCCCCAUCCCCUCCCUGUCUCCGAUGAAAGGCUCAGUCCUUAGUAUUAGGCUGUAGUCUUAACCAUAUAUAGUACCCAAGUCCUUACCCAAGACUAUUUAUUUAUUUAUUUAUUUAUUUAAUGGAGACGGGGUCUCACCAUUUUGCCCAGGCUGGUCUCGAACUCUUGGACUCAAGUGAUCCUCCUGUCAGCCUCGCAAAGUGCUGGGAUUACAGGCGUGAGCCACUGCACCCAGCCUUUCCCCAAGACUGAAACCCUGCUUUGAACUGUAGCCCCAUGAUAAGGGUCCCUGCUGCUUCAUCUUUUCCUCGCCAGCCUUUCCUCUGGGAUCUGGACCUUGUUUUCUGUCCCAGCUGGGGUCCUGCUAUCCACCUUAUUUUUCUUUUUUUGAGACAGAGUCUCGCUCCAGGCUGGAGUGCAGUGGUGCAAUCUCGACUCACUGCAACCUCCGCCUCCUGAGUUUUAGGAUUCUGCUGCCUCAGCCUCCCGAGUAUCUGGGACUACAGGCAUGCACCACUACGCCAGGCUAAUUUUUGUAUUUUU